GAUGGCUCCGCAGCUGGAGCACAGGCUGCCUGGGCCUCCCCUGGGAGUCGGCCCGCUCGAGGAAGAGCUGCGCCACCGCCCGUCCGCCGCCACAAGGUGGCGCCAGAUCGCGAUUAGGGGGAUUAGGGCUCAUCCUGGCCCUGGCUGGCUUCAGUCACCUACCUCCAGUGGUGGUGUGGACUAAAAUGUGGGCGCAGGUUCGUCAAGCGCAAGGAGAAAAGGGGAGGUUUUCAAACGCCUCUUUUAAAGCGAUUUUCCCCUUGGCCUUUAAUUCCUGAAGUAGGCACUAUACUGUUUUUUAUUGCCAUUUCUUGGCACAGAGAGACAGGAUAGAGACCUGGUCUUCGUGGCAGGCAGCCAAGUAUCUGCUGGCCUGAGCUUCUAGCAGGUAGAGCUACAGGCAGAGAGAGGGAGAGACAGAGAGGCAGAGGUCUUCCAUUUGCUGCUUCACUCCCCAAAUGGCCAAAAUCACUGGAGCUGGGCUGAUCUGAAGCUAGGAGCCAGGAGCUUCUUCUGCAUCUCCCCAUGUCUGCGUUGUCAGGAAGCUGGAAUCAGGAGCCAGAGCUGGCAUUGAACUUGGAGACUCCAACAAGAGAUGUGAGUGUCCCAAUUCGCAUUAUAGCCACCCCAGGUCUCAUUCUUUAGAGAUCCAGGUAAAUUUAUUCAGGUGAGUGUUGAUAAUUGAUUAAUUACAAACCCCAUUAAAAUUGCAUUUCAGAGGAAAAUAUUCUACCUGCACUUAAAGGAAGAACUGCUGGUGGCCACCAUGAAGGGCCUACCCUGCUCCUGAGGAGGAAUGUAAAUGCAGAUUAUCCCCUGAAACUCAUUUUUUUUAAAUGGAGUGAGCAGCCACUUGUCAAAUGACCCUGGAGGGUCCAGACAUCGCUUGGUUUAAUGCCAGGUAACUGAGGUGUUCUUUAAUUUCAAGAGGAUCCAAUCCAUCUCCGUAGUGAACUCCAACUAGAUAUUGUGUCUCAAAUUGCUUCCACAGAAACCAAAUAGCACUUUGGAACUUGAUGUACUACCUGAUAACAAAGAACCUUGUCCUUGGCACUGUACAUUGGGUGGAGUGGAUGCUGCUGGUGCUCCUCCCCAUUGUCUGGAUGUGUUUGCUGGUAAUGCCUGCACCUGCCAGUCUCCCUGCAGGCUUGCUCUCGGGCUACAGGAGGCUUUGCUGCAAAGGCCUUGGACUUGACCUUCCCUGAAGCAGCCCUUCACCAAUGACUGAAGGGGAAAGGAGUACGGAAGUCCAGCUCAGGUGUAAAACUUCAGGUUUCCCCCCAAGGACCAGGUUGCUGUCAUCAUUAGAAGAAUUCUGCCUGCAUCACAUAGCUCUCGGUUUUCUCCUCCCCUGUUCUGCUUUCAGCCUUCUAGAUCCGUUUUUCCUGGUCCCAUUUCUUCAUAAGUUGCUGGCAUGUGAAUUUCUCUAUUAGGAUCUUUGGGAAGUAAUCAUGCCUCCGUCUGUACGCAGACUUCUCCAAAAGGCACAUUACCUCCAACCAGAAGACUCGGUGAACUGAAGCAUCAGCCCACCUCCUCAGCCCCGUAUGCCUUCCUCUGUGCUCUUCCUGGGGGCUUUCACAGCAUUUAACAGGCUGCAAGUUUGAUUCAGAAUUCCUUGAGGGCAGAAAUAUGUCUCAGUUAUUGUUUUAAUUUUUAGGGAAAUGACUGAGUAAACCACGUGUUGCUGAGCACUCACAAAGUCCCAGGAGCUCACUAAGCAUGGAGGUACAGAGAAGGCAUUGGACGAAAGUGGCAUUCAACACUCCUUGCAAAGGCACACUGAGUGCUGCAUUAUUUUAAUUUUCUGGUCAUGUAUUUUUAUGGAUAUUUUUCCAAUUCUCAAUCUAUUCUUUUUUUAAAGAAUAUUUAUUUAAUUUUAAAGAUUUAUUUUAUUUAAAAGAGUUACAGAGCAAAGUAGAGACAAAGAGAGAGAGAGAGAGAGA